CCUACGGGGGGCAGCAGUCGGGAAUAUUGCGCAAUGGAGGAAACUCGGACGCAGGGACGCCGCGUAGAGGAAGAAGUUGUUCGGAAUGUAAACUAGUGUCGUUAGGGAAGAGAAAGGACAGUACCUAAGGAGGAAGCUCCGGCUAACUACGUGCCAGCAGCCGCGGUAAUACGUAGGGAGCGAGCGUUAUCCGGAAUUAUUGGGUGUAAAGAGGGCGUCGACGGGAAAACAAGUUAGUUGUGAAAUCCCUCGGCUUAACGGAGGAACUGCAACUAAAACUAUUUUUCUUGAGUGCAGGAGAGGUAAGUGGACUUCCUUGUGUAGCGGUGCAAUGCUUAGCUAUUAGGAGGAACCCCAGUUGCGACGGCGCCUUACUGGACUGUAACUGCCGUUGCGGCACGACAGUGUGGGGAGCACACAGGAUUAGCUACCCGGGUAGUC
rnacentral:rRNA from 1 species